rnacentral:rRNA from 1 species
AUUCCAGCUCCAAUAGCGUAUAUUAAAGUUGUUGCAGUUAAAAAGCUCGUAGUUGGAUUUCUGACAGGGGGCCGAACACCACUGUAGUGAGUGUUUUGGUACCUGUCAUCCUUCUGUUAACCCUAGCGUCAUUCAUUUGUCGUUGGGCGGACCAGAUACUUUACCUUGAGAAAAUUAGAGUGUUUCAGGCAGGCCUAGCCGGAAUACAUUAGCAUGGAAUAAUGGAAUAGGACUAUAGUCUCGUCGUUGGUUACGUGGACUGCAGUAAUGAUUAAUAGGGAUAGUUGGGGGUUUUCGUAUUCAAUUGUCAGAGGUGAAAUUCUUGGAUUUAUGGAAGACGAACUACUGCGAAAGCAUCAACCAAGGAUGUUUUCAUUA